rnacentral:lncRNA from 1 species
AUUAAGCUUACUGACACCGGAGCUGUGGUUAAGUCACUGCAUCUGAACAAAGAACCUGAGGUACAUUCCUGGAGUCAGUUCCUCAUCUGACACAUAACAGGCUCUCCAGCUGAGAAGAAAGUUUGUUUCUGCCACCAUGAUAACCAUACAAGGAACAGGACAGACUGCUUUGGAAGCUGGUUAUGGGGCACAGCAGAAUGGACAACCUUUAUAUGUGGAUUCACAUUCAUGGAAGAGAAUGACAGAGAAGUUCUUGAAGGGAGAACCCAAAAUCCUUGGGAUUGUGCAGAUUGUGAUUGCCAUCAUGAACCUCAGUAUAGGACUCAUGAUGAUAGGUGCCACUGUGUCAUCCGGUGAAAUACUCCCUAUUUCGGUGUACAUAGGAUACCCAAUUUGGGGGUCCAUAAUGUUUAUUAUUUCAGGAUCAUUUUCAAUUGUAGCAGGAAGAAGAACUACAAAAGGUUUGGUUCGAAGCAGCCUAGGCUUGAACAUUACCAGCUCCGUGUUUGCCUUCGCAGGGAUGAUAAUCAACUCACUGAGCCCAAGCAUUUAUUCUUUCCAUGUAUAUUUCUGUACAUAUAGAAGUACAUCAGAAGGCUGUCGCAUGACCUUGUCCAUUUUAAUGGGUCUGGAUAUCGUGGUAGUCAUUUUAAGUGUGCUGGAAUUCUGCAUAGGAAUAUCCCUCUCUGCCUAUGGAUGCAGGGUGAUGUGUUGUAACCCUGGUGGGGUCGUGAUAAUUAUGCCAUCAAAGCCUCCCAUGCCAGAAACAGCAUAUCCUGUAUCACUUCAAAGUGGUUUGGGGCCACCAGAACACCAACAGAAAAAUGUUCCAGGAAAAAGUCACUGAUUAUUUUUCAAGAACCACACAUGAAAAAGCACAAGAAUCCAACUCUGAUGUCUGUGCAUGUAGGCAUGAGUGUACGCUUGCUUGUGCAUGUACACACGUGCAGUGUGUGUGUGUGUGUGUGCGCGUAUAUGUGUGUGUGAUUCAAAUGACAUUCUCAUGUUUCACCAGGAAGUUGGCAGAUCAUUCCACCUGCUCUCUCUAUAAGACUAUCAGAAUGUAAUAAAUAAACCAUCAAUUUACUGGGUAAAUAA